UUGCCUUAAACUAAUGAGUAAGGAAAAUAACGACCUGGGUGACGCCAGGUUUGACGAUGAGUAUCGUAUGUAAUUUUUGACGGAUAGAGAGGUUACCCCCAGAUGACCCGCUUACUUACGCGGGAUGUCUGUGUUGCUGCGACCUCC